rnacentral:tRNA from 1 species
GUCUGGUUAGCUUGGUUGGUAAAGCAUCUGUCUUGUAAGCGCUAGGUCGCGGGUUCGAUUCCAGCCCGAGGCG